UACGUAGGUCCCGAGCGUUGUCCGGAUUUAUUGGGCGUAAAGGGAACGCAGGCGGUCUUUUAAGUCUGAUGUGAAAGCCUUCGGCUUAACCGGAGUAGUGCAUUGGAGACUGGGAGACUUGAGUGCAGAAGAGGAGAGUGGAACUCCAUGUGUAGCGGUGAAAUGCGUAGAUAUAUGGAAGAACACCAGUGGCGAAAGCGGCUCUCUGGUCUGUAACUGACGCUGAGGUUCGAAAGCGUGGGUAGCAAACAGG
rnacentral:rRNA from 1 species